UACAGAGGGUGCAAGCGUUAAUCGGAAUUACUGGGCGUAAAGCGUGCGUAGACGGUUAUGUAAGUCAGAUGUGAAAGCCCCCGGCUUAACCGGGGAACUGCAUGGGAUACUGUUGGGCUAGAGUGCAGGAGGGGAGAGCGGAAUUCCUGGUGGAGCGGUGAAAUGCGUAGAUAUCAGGAGGAACGCCGGCGGCGAAAGCGACUCUCUGGCCUGUAACUGACGCUGAGGCGCGAAAGCUAGGGGAGCAAACGGG
rnacentral:rRNA from 1 species